ensembl:lncRNA
AUGGGUCCUUUGUUCCGUGUACGAAGGGUUAUUUUAGCAGAAAUUUCACGGUUCAAAUCGAGGAUGAGCAUCGCAGCCACGUGCCACAUAAUGCCAGGGACACCUUCUAAAUCCCCGGCGAGGAGGAGCAGCAGCCUUCCUGGCCAGGGAGCACGCAGGGUGUUGCCUCAGAUGAUGUCACAGAUCUCCUGGGUUGCGGAGGGCGCUGGGGCGCUGGAGGCUGUCACAGCUGGAGAGCUCACUGUGCUUAGCAGAUUCCACAGCGUGACCGACUGCAUCCAAAUGGGACUUAGAAAAACCCCCGGUGUGCUUUCCGUUAACAGAAUGAGAAAGAAGAAAGCGAUGGAGACCAAAGGAGAGAUGGUUUCACUGGUGCAUUCCGAGCAUGAUCAGUUUGCUGCUUCUGGCAUAAACUGUCACCUGAACCCCUGGAUAGAAAUAUUGCUUCUUCUCUGUCAUAUUGAGAGAAUAUAUUCGAACUCUCUCGCUCCAGCCCGCAGGAUUUGAUGUCAGACAGAAAACUCAGAAUCACAGAUGCCUCAAUUUGCUGGAGAACGGGAACUAACAGAAAAUUCAGAGAAGGUGAAGAGUGCGUGCGUGCACGCGCGUACACGUCUGCCUGCGUGUUUGCGCUGCUUUGGACACAAUCUCCCGGGCAUGUUCUGCAAGUGACUGCUUUCUUUCACCUUGGCUUAACACGUUCACAANAAAAAGGAAAAAAAAAAGGAGAAAAAAAAAAAAGCCCUGCAGAGGCAGAGCUGAGAGGCUGCAGAUCACAAGGCCAUUCUGAUAGCCUCCUGUCCCCAUGGCAACAGCAACGGCAUUUAUCAGUUCCUUAUGAGAGCAGGCACAGCAAAUCUGCAAUGCACAAAUGCACAUGGCAGCCUUCCAGCCUUUCAAAUGAAAGAGCACUUUGAACUGCUGCCAAGUGUGGAAGGAGCAGAGCUGUCAGGACUGCUUAAUGCUGGCAGUUUGUACUUGGGAGCCUUUCUGUUCCCAGAAUCCUUCAGCUGUGGCAGCCUGCCAGGUACUUAGCGGAAGCUAAAACUAACCCCCAGACCAUUCACUGCAGCGCACUCAAAAUUUUCCACAUGUACUGUGUCACAAGUGCAGACUGUACAAUGAAAGCAAACGCCUUCUGCUCGAGGUUCUGAUUUUAUUAAUAAUCUAGGAAAAAGUGAUUGGCGAUUAGCCGGCUGACAGCAGUACAGUAUAGCCACUGUGCAUGACUCUGUGCGUGUGUCAAACGUGUAUUUCAUCCUUCAAAAACAGAAUUAGCUCUGACAACAGAUCUGCGUGCAGUACCUGAGCGCUGGGCACAAUCGGCGGGACAGGAGGAGGAGCGUGCUUAUUUACAGUGGGUGUUUUGUAGAGAUGGGCAUCAGAUGCAUAGCAAUGAGGCGCGGAAUAGAAAAUGAAGGCGGCGCUGCUGGCUGGUAAAUAUUUUCUGCCCUUAGCCUCUGCUUUUUGCUGACAUUGUGAGAAUCUCGGAAACCGGCUGAUGGAUGUAGCAGAAGUAGAUGGCUCUUGGUGGGUUUCCUUUCAAUGGAGAGUUUGCAUGUGAACUUUGUAUUGUUUUGCAUCACCCAGAGCACAAGGGCUUCUGCUGGCAGAGGAAACAAAUUGGCACAGUUCUGCUUUUUUUUUUUAAUCUGCACUGAGAUCAAGGGCAAGGGCUUCGUUUUGCAGCACCAGCCGUAAGCCUUUAGCACAAAUAGAAUGAAAAUUGUCUGUCGCUCAGGCAGUUGGACAGGGUUCAGGAAAACUAUGUCUGGCACUAAUUCCAAAGGGAAGGUUUGGUUCAAUCCGGCAUCAUUAAUUUCAGUAAACUGUUUUCACUAGUCUAUAUCCCACUGUUCGAGUGCUGUUUAUUACCUUGUACUGAAUAAUGCCUUUUGGAGUACAAGGUAACGAAAGAUAUCUUACAGGACACGAACGCCUGGGUACUCUGACAUGUACGUAUACGUGCAUAUAGACGCAGUACAUGUGGAAGAGUGUACGUUUUUUUAACUUCUCUUACUUCUCUUAACGAUCUCUUGUUUUUUACCUUACCUUCCCAUUGCAAAGCACAUUCAUAAUGCCAAAUACAAAGCAGCAAAAAUAGCCCAGAAGGGGAGAGAGACAGAGAAGAAAAGCCCCUGGAGCAAAGACAAUCUCCACAAAUUUGUGCGUUCCACCGCAAAACAAGGAACUGCAUCGCCUCCUUCCAGCUUGCAGCUAUCUUUGGCUGCUGCUUCAAGUCUUGUCUUAAUUCACCCGGGCAGUAGUGUCUAAACGUAAUACACCAAGGCAGUUAAUUUUGGCACUUGGUCUGCCGUAGGAAUUUUACCAACAGUCUUUNGAGGUAAAAGCACGCAGUUUUGAAAGGCAGAGAUCCACGUUUAGAGGAGGAAAGGGGCGAUGCGUUCAUCUGCAGGGUUGUUGAUUUUUUUCCCGGUUCUAAACAAAGCCCUCAGAACCGGUCACAUUCCGGUACGCACACAGAAUCCCCCAAAUGCUCCAUUCUUCCCGUUCUGUGCCACUCGCCGUCUGACUGCUCCUGGGCGUGCUCUGCCUUCUCUGGGAACACAGAUGCGUGCCCAUCUUGAUCUCGUUAGAGGCUGCCCCGGAGCGCGCUGCGUGGCCGCGGCGCAGCGAUGCAGCGCCGUGCCCAUUGUUCCCGCUGUGAUGUCACGCGCAGACUUCGCCCUGCUUAAACAGAGCGCAGUUUACUCAACUGCAGCAGGGGGCUUCAGGGAGCCCACGUUUAUCACUGGGCAGAGACAGAAAGAAAGAACGUGUAAGGAAGGAGACGGAGGAAAACGGGUAUAAGUUCUGCCUGAAACAUUUGCCACCUCCGUUUUUAUCUGUACUUGUUUAGAAGGAGAUAUGCACACUCAUUUCUAUGCACAAUCAGGCUGUGCGUAGCUCAAGGGUGUGUUUAUUUUAAUCUUGGGAACUAGAACAAGCCAAGAUUCACUCCCAGGACGUGCAUUGUCACUAAGAUCUUUUAAACAUGCAGUUUUAUAUCACACUGCUCAUUCUUUUUACUCACAUUAACCACACAUGGAGUCCGCAUAAUGGAUCUAAUCCCGCUAGCUGUCCUGUGAUGGUAAUGAGCACUAAAGGCACCAGGCAUGCUACAAGUUCAGUGGUGAAUUAAUUCAUUUCCACGAACAUCUGAGAACUGUAUGUGGUGAUGCCGAGGGGAAGAAAGGGGACGGCCCUUUAAUUAUGCUGGGAGAUCCUGAACUGGAGGGAAUUCUGAAGAGACUGAGUGGGGAGAAGGUCUCUACUCCUCCUCCUCCUCCUCCCUCCCGGCCCUACAGAUCCCCAAGGGCAGCGCUUCCCACACAGGGACAUUGGCAGGUAUGUGUUCAUCUUGUUCCCAGCACCUUCGAGGAGGCUCAUCCUGUCCUUUCAAAGCAGCGCUUCCUGUCCUUAAAGAGUUAACCUUUUCUAGAAAAUUUAUUUCACCAUCUCAGGGAAAAAGGAAAAAAAAAAAAAAGAAAGAAAAAGGAAAAAAAAAAGGAGAAAAAAAAAAAA